GACGAACGCUGGCGGCGUGCUUAACACAUGCAAGUCGAACGGAAAGUCCCUGCUUUUGUGGGGUGCUCGAGUGGCGAACGGGUGAGUAACACUUGAGUAACCUGCCCUUGACUUUGGGAUAACUUCAGGAAACUGGGGCUAAUACCGGAUAGGAGCUCCUGCUGCAUGGUGGGGGUUGGAAAGUUUCGGCGGUUGGGGAUGGACUCGCGGCUUAUCAGCUUGUUGGUGGGGUAGUGGCUUACCAAGGCUUUGACGGGUAGCCGGCCUGGGAGGGUGACCGGCCACAUUGGGACUGAGAUACGGCCCAGACUCCUACGGGAGGCAGCAGUGGGGAAUAUUGCACAAUGGGCGGAAGCCUGACGCAGCACCGCCGCGUGCGGGAUGACGGCCUUCGGGUUGUAAACCGCUUUCGCCUGUGACGAAGCGUGAGUGACGGUAAUGGGUAAAGAAGCACCGGCUAACUACGUG
rnacentral:rRNA from 1 species